GGUUCGCCACGUAAAGAUCUUUUAUGAGGGAAGAAGUAUAUUGACGGUACCUCAUGAAUAAGGGGCUCCUAACUCUGUGCCAGCAGGAGCGGUAAUACAGAGGCCCCAAGCGUUAUCCGGAAUUAUUGGGCGUAAAGGGUGUCAAGGCGGUCAUGUUAGUCGUGUGUAAAAUCCGGGGGCUCAACCUCCGGCCCGCAUACGAAACGGCAUGACUAGAGGUUGGAAGAGGUGCGUGGAACUCACGGUGUAGGGGUGAAAUCCGUUGAUAUCGUGGGGAACACCAAAGGCGAAGGCAGCGCACUGGUCCAAAUCUGACGCUCACACACGAAAGCCAGGGUAGCGAAUGGGAUUAGAUACCCCAGUAGUCCUGGCCCUAAACGUUGCUCGCUCGCUUUACGGAGAAUCGACCCUCUGUGAGGCUAAGCUAACGCGGUAAGCGAGCCGCCUGGGUAGUACGAUCGCAAGAUUAAAACUCAAAGGAAUAGACGGGGACUUGCACAAGCGGUGGAACGUGUGGCUUAAUUCGAUGAUCCGCGAAAAACCUUACCAGGGCUAGAAACCAAGCUGCAUCCCUUCAGAAACGUUGGGAGCCUUCGAGGGUGCUUGGCAGGUGAUGCAUGGUUGUCGUCAGUUCGUGGCUUGAGCUGUUCCCUUCAGUGGGGUAACGAACGCAACCCCCGUUGUCUGUUACUUAUGUCAGGCGAGACUGCCCCCUCACGGGGGAGGAAGGUGGGGAUGACGCCAAAUCAGCAUGUCCCUUGAUGCCCUGGGCUGCACACACGUUACAAUGGAUGGAAACAGAAGGACGCAAGACCGUAAGGUGGAGCAAAUCCUCAAAACCAUCCCCAGUACGGAUUGAGGUCUGAAACCGACCUCAUGAAGCCGGAAUCGCUAGUAAUCGUAGAUCAGCACGCUACGGUGAAUACGUUCCCGGGCCUUGUACACACCGCCCGUCACACCAUGGGAGUUGGUUCUACCCGAAGCCGGUGCGCUAACCGCAAGGAAGCAGCCGACCACGGUAGGGUCAGCGACUGGGGUGAAGUCGUAACAAGGUAGCCGUAGGGGAACCUGCGGCUG
rnacentral:rRNA from 1 species